rnacentral:rRNA from 1 species
UCCAUAGGUUAAUGAGGCGAACCGGGGGAACUGAAACAUCUAAGUACCCCGAGGAAAAGAAAUCAACCGAGAUUCCCCCAGUAGCGGCGAGCGAACGGGGAGCAGCCCAGAGCCUGAAUCAGUGUGUGUGUUAGUGGAAGCGUCUGGAAAGGCGCGCGAUACAGGGUGACAGCCCCGUACACAAAAAUGCACAUGCUGUGAGCUCGAUGAGUAGGGCGGGACACGUGGUAUCCUGUCUGAAUAUGGGGGGACCAUCCUCCAAGGCUAAAUACUCCUGACUGACCGAUAGUGAACCAGUACCGUGAGGGAAAGGCGAAAAGAACCCCGGCGAGGGGAGUGAAAAAGAACCUGAAACCGUGUACGUACAAGCAGUGGGAGCACGCUUAGGCGUGUGACUGCGUACCUUUUGUAUAAUGGGUCAGCGACUUAUAUUCUGUAGCAAGGUUAACCGAAUAGGGGAGCCGAAGGGAAACCGAGUCUUAACUGGGCGUUAAGUUGCAGGGUAUAGACCCGAAACCCGGUGAUCUAGCCAUGGGCAGGUUGAAGGUUGGGUAACACUAACUGGAGGACCGAACCGACUAAUGUUGAAAAAUUAGCGGAUGACUUGUGGCUGGGGGUGAAAGGCCAAUCAAACCGGGAGAUAGCUGGUUCUCCCCGAAAGCUAUUUAGGUAGCGCCUCGUGAAUUCAUCUCCGGGGGUAGAGCACUGUUUCGGCAAGGGGGUCAUCCCGACUUACCAACCCGAUGCAAACUGCGAAUACCGGAGAAUGUUAUCACGGGAGACACACGGCGGGUGCUAACGUCCGUCGUGAAGAGGGAAACAACCCAGACCGCCAGCUAAGGUCCCAAAGUCAUGGUUAAGUGGGAAACGAUGUGGGAAGGCCCAGACAGCCAGGAUGUUGGCUUAGAAGCAGCCAUCAUUUAAAGAAAGCGUAAUAGCUCACUGGUCGAGUCGGCCUGCGCGGAAGAUGUAACGGGGCUAAACCAUGCACCGAAGCUGCGGCAGCGACGCUUAUGCGUUGUUGGGUA